rnacentral:rRNA from 1 species
UACGGAGGGGGCUAGCGUUGUUCGGAAUUACUGGGCGUAAAGGCUCGUAGGCGGCCAACUAAGUCAGACGUGAAAUCCCCAGGCUCAACCUGGGAACUGCGUCUGAUACUGGAUGGCUUGAAUUCGGGAGAGGGAUGCAGAAUUCCAGGUGUAGCGGUGAAAUGCGUAGAUAUCUGGAGGAAUACCGGUGGCGAAGGCGAGUCGAUCGUGGCCGGACUGUACGCUGAGGAGCGAAA